rnacentral:lncRNA from 1 species
GCAGAUUGCAGUGCAGUUCCCCAUGAAAAAUUCAAAAACCAAAACGUUCUAUUUUUUCUUUCUAAAACUUGUAACUGACCCAUGCCAGUUGACUGUGCGUGUUGGUUUGGGGUGUUUGUCGUAAGUCACCUGAUCAUGUGAUAUCUACCAAUUAGACAAUAGACAAUGUUUAAAAAUUAUUUGCACAAACACAUUUACAAAAUGGUUAUGGCAUACAAUAUUGAGACAAUAAACUGAAAGUGAAAACUAGAGAGUGCAAGAAAUAACUUCAAAACGAUUUGUUUUUUCCCAUAUCUGUUAGUUUCACGAAAUUUGCAAUAACUUAAAGGGGGCAGACAAAGGGGUGCUCCUUUCCCAAAUCCCGCUUUAUAGUAAAUUUUCCCGCUUCCGUCAUGUACAUUUUCAAAAUGCCGUUUUUCUUACCCCUAUAUUUCCCAUCCCGAAAAAGUGUCACCACCCUCAUUCCUAGAAAUCCAGGUUACUGCGUUUAGCACGAAAAGUAGCAUCGCAAGAUUCAAGAGGUCUCUGAUUCUCAUUUUCCUCCCCAUAAUUUUCCAAUUCCCUCCUCCUACUCCCACUUCCAUUUUCCCUUACUACCAAACGAACAUUUGGUCAAUUAUUUUU